AUAAAGGAUUUAUUAAAAUCUAUUGAUCAUUCAAUAGAACAUAGGAU
rfam:Picea glauca, whole genome shotgun sequence.